rnacentral:rRNA from 1 species
CCUGGUUGAUUCUGCCAUUAGUCAUAUGCUUGUCUCAAAGAUUAAGCCAUGCAUGUCUAAGUAUAAACACGUUAUACUGUGAAACUGCGAAUGGCUCAUUAAAUCAGUUAUAGUUUAUUUGAUGGUUUUUGCUACAUGGAUAACUGUGGUAAUUCUAGAGCUAAUACAUGCGUACAAGCCCCGACUUCUGGAAGGGGUGUAUUUAUUAGAUAAAAAUCAACACUGUUGGUGAAUCAUGAUAACUUCUCGGAUCGCAUGGCCUCGUGCUGGCGAUACUUCAUUCAAAUAUCUGCCCUAUCAACUGUCGAUGGUAGGAUAGAGGCCUACCAUGGUUGCAACGGGUAACGGGGAAUAAGGGUUCGAUUCCGGAGAGGGAGCCUGAGAAACGGCUACCACAUCCAAGGAAGGCAGCAGGCGCGCAAAUUACCCAAUCCCGACACGGGGAGGUAGUGACAAUAUGUAACAAUAUACGGCUUUAUCGUCGUAUAAUUGGAAUGAGUACAAUUUAAAUCCCUUAACGAGGAACAAUUGGAGGGCAAGUCUGGUGCCAGCAGCCGCGGUAAUUCCAGCUCCAAUAGCGUAUAUUAAAGUUGUUGCAGUUAAAAAGCUCGUAGUUGGACCUUGGGCCUGGACGGGCGGUCCGCCUCACGGCGUGUACUGUCUUGCCGGGCCUUUCCUCUUGGUGAUCUGUUGUUUCGGCAGCAGGGAACCAGGACCUUUACUUUGAAAAAAUUAGAGUGUUCAAAGCAGGCUCGACGCCGGAAUAUAUUAGCAUGGAAUAAUAAAAUAGGACGUGCGGUUCUAUUUUGUUGGUUUUUGGAAUCGCCGUAAUGAUUAAUAGGGACAGUCGGGGGCAUUAGUACUCACAUGCUAGAAGUGAAAUUCUUGGAUUUUGUGAAGACUAACUUCUG